UGGCGGCUUGUGGAGCCUCUCAAUAGUUCCCGGAAGUAGCAGCAAACCGAUGCUGCGCCGUGGAGAUGCAGCAGAACAAACUGUUUGCGACGCACUUUUAAAAGGUGAAGGAUUAGUGGUUCUUCACCACAGGACUUUUCUGUGAUGGAGCAUCAGUAAUGAUGCAAGUCAGGAGUACUGAGGGGACCAUGGUGAGAAUAAAAACAAAAGCCUCAAUCCUCAACCUCAGCCUUAUAAAUCUUUUGGAGAUUUUUCCUUCUACUCCACAGCAUGAUGGAAGCCUGCUUGAGAGUGACUGAGCUUUUUCUCCAACACAUCCACUGCAUUGGGGAGCUCCAUGAGGAUUGUCAUCAGUUUGCCGUUUUGCAGUUUUGCAUUUUCCACAGAUGCUGGCAAAUUGGAUUAAUUUGUGGACAAUGUAGCCUGCGAGAUGGAAGAGAAUACAUUUCUCUGUUUUUGUGAGGAAGUCUGCCAAAAAGCUACUGUAAUCUUCCUGGUAGCUCCCAGAGGUGAUGGUGGUGAAGAACUGCCCUACUGAUAUGAUUCUCAGUGCAUGAAUUCCACUGGAGUUGGUAUGGGAUUUUUAGACCUCACACAGCUGAAUGUAUUUUCAAGACAGUCUUGUGUGAACCUUGAAGUUAACACAAACCUGUGUCCUCGUGUCAGCAUCUCUUCCUGUAUGCCCAAAACUGAUUUGGUUGCCAUUAUCACCCCUUUUUGAACAGGCUUCCAAACUCCCUUAUGACCAAUCUUCAUCCCAUAGAAUAGAUGGAUGAUAUCCUGUAGGAAGAUUAUGGCCUUUUCAUACUCCUCUAUCUUGACCCUGCUCAGUGCUGUAAUUGGAUGGCGAGAUGACAUAAGAUCAAACCAAUGAUCCACUUGCUCCAGGAACCAUGCUGUGGUCAGGUAGGAGAGAGGGCGGUUUUUCUUGCUGCACCAUAUACUUCAGUCCAGCACUUGUUGCCUUACUAACUACAUUAAGAGCAGGACCAACCUUCAUUUUCUCAAAGUGGCUUGGCUCGAUGGCUGCAGCUGAUAGAUGGGGAGCUA